GAGAACGCUGGCGGCGUGGAUUAGGCAUGCAAGUCGAACGGUAUCAUCCUUUCGGGGGUGAGAGAGUGGCGAACUGGUGAGUAACACGUAGGUUAUCUACCCUCAAGACGGGACAACCCAGGGAAACUUGGGCUAAUACCGGAUGUGAGCAACUUUAGUUGUUUGAAAGGUGGCGUAAGCUGUCGCUUGGGGAUGAGCCUGCGUCCUAUUAGUUAGUUGGUGAGGUAACGGCUCACCUAGGCAAUGAUAGGUAGGCGGCCUUAACGGGUGGUCGCCCACACUGGGAUUGAGAUACGGCCCAGACUCCUACGGGAGGCAGCAGUCGAGAAUAGUCUACAAUGGUCGGAAGACUGAUAGUGCGACGCCGCGUGAACGAUGAAUCCCUUCGGGGUGUAAAGUUCUUUUAUAUGUGAGCAGUGCUUCUUAUAUUAACAGUAUGGGGAGAGAGAUAUUAGCAUAUGAAUAAGCAACGGCUAACUCCGUG
rnacentral:rRNA from 1 species